UAGGGAAUCUUCCGCAAUGGACGCAAGUCUGACGGAGCAACGCCGCGUGAGUGAAGAAGGAUUUCGGUUCGUAAAACUCUGUUGUUAGAGAAGAACAGCGCAUAGAGUAACUGUUAUGCGUGUGACGGUAUCUAACUAGAAAGCCACGGCUAACUACGUGCCAGCAGCCGCGGUAAUACGUAGGUGGCAAGCGUUGUCCGGAUUUAUUGGGCGUAAAGCGAGCGCAGGCGGUCAAUUAAGUCUGAUGUGAAAGCCCCCGGCUCAACCGGGGAGGGUCAUUGGAAACUGGUUGACUUGAGUGCAGAAGAGGAGAGUGGAAUUCCAUGUGUAGCGGUGAAAUGCGUAGAUAUAUGGAGGAACACCAGUGGCGAAGGAGACUCUCUGGUCUGUAACUGACGAUGAGGCUCGAAAGCGUGGGUAGCAAACAGG
rnacentral:rRNA from 1 species